AGUGAACGCUGGCGGUAGGCCUAACACAUGCAAGUCGAACGGCAGCACAGUAAGAGCUUGCUCUUACGGGUGGCGAGUGGCGGACGGGUGAGGAAUACAUCGGAAUCUACUUUUUCGUGGGGGACAACGUAGGGAAACUUACGCUAAUACCGCAUACGACCUACGGGUGAAAGCAGGGGAUCUUCGGACCUUGCGCGAUUGAAUGAGCCGAUGUCGGAUUAGCUAGUUGGGGGGGUAAAGGCCCACCAAGGCGACGAUCCGUAGCUGGUCUGAGAGGAUGAUCAGCCACACUGGAACUGAGACACGGUCCAGACUCCUACGGGAGGCAGCAGUGGGGAAUAUUGGACAAUGGGCGCAAGCCUGAUCCAGCCAUACCGCGUGGGUGAAGAAGGCCUUCGGGUUGUAAAGCCCUUUUGUUAGGAAAGAAAAGCAGCAGGUUAAUACCCCGCUGUUCUGACGGUACCCAAAGAGUAAGCACCGGCUAACUUCGUG
rnacentral:rRNA from 1 species